rnacentral:rRNA from 1 species
GAUGAACGCUGGCGGCGUGCCUAAUACAUGCAAGUCGAGCGAACGGACGAGAAGCUUGCUUCUCUGAUGUUAGCGGCGGACGGGUGAGUAACACGUGGAUAACCUACCUAUAAGACUGGGAUAACUUCGGGAAACCGGAGCUAAUACCGGAUAAUAUUUUGAACCGCAUGGUUCAAAAGUGAAAGACGGUCUUGCUGUCACUUAUAGAUGGAUCCGCGCUGCAUUAGCUAGUUGGUAAGGUAACGGCUUACCAAGGCAACGAUGCAUAGCCGACCUGAGAGGUGGACCGGCCCACCGGGACAUGGAACCGGGUCCAAGCCCCUCGGGGGGGCAGCAGUGGGAAAUCUUCCCAAAUGGGCGAAACCCUACGGGAGCAACCCCGGGUGGGUGAUGAAGUUCUUCGGUUCGUAAAACCUUGUUUUUGGGGAAAAACAUAUUUGUAAAAAACGGUGCACAUUUUGACGGGACCAAAACAGAAAGCCACGGCAAACUCCGG